rnacentral:rRNA from 1 species
UACGGAGGGGUGCAAACGUUGCUCGGAAUCAUUGGGCGUAAAGCGCACGUAGGCGGCCUGAUAAGUCGGGUGUGAAAGGCCCUGGGCUCAACCCAGGAAGUGCACUCGAAACUGUCAGGCUUGAAUAUGGAAGAGGGUCGCGGAAUUCCCGGUGUAGAGGUGAAAUUCGUAGAUAUCGGGAGGAACACCAGUGGCGAAGGCGGCGACCUGGGCCAAUAUUGACGCUGAGGUGCGAAAGCGUGGGGAGCAAACGGGG